AGAGUUUGAUCAUGGCUCAGGAUGAACGCUGGCGGCGUGCUUAACACAUGCAAGUCGAACGAUGAUCCCAGCUUGCUGGGGGAUUGGUGGCGAACGGGUGAGUAACACGUGAGUAACCUGCCCUUAACUCUGGGAUAAGCCUGGGAAACUGGGUCUAAUACCGGAUAUGACUCCUCAUCGCAUGGUGGGGGGUGGAAAGCUUUAUUGUGGUUUUGGAUGGACUCGCGGCCUAUCAGCUUGUUGGUGAGGUAAUGGCUCACCAAGGCGACGACGGGUAGCCGGCCUGAGAGGGUGACCGGCCACACUGGGACUGAGACACGGCCCAGACUCCUACGGGAGGCAGCAGUGGGGAAUAUUGCACAAUGGGCGAAAGCCUGACGCAGCGACGCCGCGUGGGGGAUGACGGCCUUCGGGUUGUAAACCUCUUUCAGCAGGGACGAAGCGAAAGUGACGGUACCUGCAGAAGAAGCACCGGCCAACUACGUGCCAGCAGCCGUGGUAAUACGUAGGGUGCAAGCGUUGUCCGGAAUUAUUGGGCGUAAAGAGCUCGUAGGCGGUUUGUUGCGUCGGCUGUGAAAUCCCGAGGCUCAACCUCGGGUCUGCAGUCGAUACGAGCAAACUAGAGUGUUGCAGGGGAGACUGGAAUUCCUGGUGUAGCGGUGAAAUGCGCAGAUAUCAGGAGGAACACCGGUGGCGAAGGCGGGUCUCUGGGCAACAACUGACGCUGAGGAGCGAAAGCGUGGGGAGCGAACAGGAUUAGAUACCCUAGUAGUCC
rnacentral:rRNA from 1 species